CUGUCGGUCUCUAUCAGCCUCUCUUUGCUUUCUGUUUCCGUGCCUGGAGAGCAUUUUCCAUUGAUCAAUCUCAGUCUUUUUUCUUUUUUGGACUCAUGCGAGCUAUUUAAAGUAGGCAUUUUUUAACAUACACAUUUUAUACUCUGCUGCUUUAUGUGUCUGUCAUAUCCACUUUAGAGUUUAGAUAUAAGCCUAUUGUACUUACUGUGUUACUGCGAUCCAAACACACUGCUGAUGAUGUGACGUAACAUUACUUCACCAAACCAUUCAGAUUACCGUUACUGUAAAUUCAGUGGCAUGAGACAAGGACUAAGUAAAAAGGGAGAGUUAGACUGAAAAGAUGCAGAGAGGGUGAGGAGAGGAUGCAGCUUCCACUUAAGUUUUUCGUGUGUGCUGGUGAGCGCGCGAGGAGCAGAGCGCGCGGACAGCGCCCACGCAACACUUCCACGCGCUGCAAAUCUUCUUAAAUGCGACGCAUCCUAAAUCAGGAGACGCUUUAUCUUCUGAACAGGAAAAGUUUUAUAUAAAUUAAAUAGAAACUGAAAAGAAAUAACGCUCAUUUGGACUAUAAUGUGAUGACAAGUUGUGCACGAGCCGCAGAUUUCUGCUGACCGAAAGGGCAAAGAAGACACGGGAUGAUCUAUGCACUUCAUUUACUGCCAGCACUGGAGUUAACAGAGACUGUGAUGUCCUCAAUGCAAAAACCGCAGAUUCGAAUAAUAAGGAACGUGACAGGGCCCUGACAAACUGUUCUUGAGUUGUAUUUGCCGUGGAUAUAUUCUACCACAAAUAUUUGAAGAUGAAACUUUGUCAUCUCUCACUUUAGAAAUUUUCUUUUUCUUUUGAGUGUUUUGUUUUCUAAUUUCAUCCUUGAAUAAGCU